AUAUAAUAAUUUACGAUGAAUGUAUGAUAAAUUCCGCACCCCCAACAAUGGCAUACUUUGGGUGGUCAGUGCAUACCUUUAAUUGAAGGCGGACUAUGUGCGGCACUCUAGACUAUUUGCCACCUGAGAUGGGUAUGCAUGUUAUAUGAAAUGAAUAUUUUAUGCAGAAGGUUUUGGGAUGAUCGAAAUUCAGGCCCUUUCACCGCCCACUUCAAAUCGAGAGCAGUUCAUAAAUGGAGGAAAUCUGUUCAAAGCUGAAUGUGGAGAUUUUGAGCGAAAAAUGCAGAAGAGACCACCUAAGGAGCUUAUGACGGUCCGUCGUGCCUGUGACGGUCCGUCGUGCCUGUGACGGUCCGUAGGUGGCAGCGUAGAGAAGCUGCUGAAGGAAGAUGGGGAAGUCUGACCAAGUGUGGGAUUACGAAGCUUGUGACGGUCCGUCAUGGCUAUGACGGUCCGUCCUGCAGGUUCAUCAUGAAGAUCAGAGAAGUGAUCCCAGUACCCAGAUUCCAAGAGUUGAAGUAUUUUGAAACGAGACCCUCGACGGACCGUUGUGCCUAUGAUGGUCCGUCACACUUGCCGUCGAGGGGAAUGAAAAAAGCAGCAUAAGAAAUUGCACCAAGUAUGGGACGACGGAGUCCACGACGGUCCGUCGCGUGGUCCGUCGACCUAGCUGCGUUUUGGCAGAUUUCCAGUAAUUAGAAUCCUUGUUUAAUUAGGUUUUUAUUUUUUUUAUAAAUAGUUUGAAAAACCUCGUUUUUGAGGUUAGACUCUGCUAGAUUAGAAAUCAUAUUAUUAGACUUUGUUUAUUAGUGUUUGAUUUUGAGAGAUUCUUACAAGUAAUUUUUGGUGAUUAAUCAAGCAAAUUUUCGGACUU